UUGUUGGUUUCUCCCUUCUGACGAACCAUGAUGUCAUUUAUUUGGUGUUGUGGGGAAUCAGGACUGUUACUUUGAAAAAAUUAGAGUGUUUAAAGCAGGCUCACGCUUGAAUACAUUAGCAUGGAAUAAUGAAAUAGGACGUUUGAUUCUAUUUUGUUGGUUUCUAGGAUCGACGUAAUGAUUAAUAGGGAUAGUUGGGGGCAUUAGUAUUCAAUUGUCAGAGGUGAAAUUCUUGGAUUUAUUGAAGACUAACUACUGCGAAAGCAUUUGCCAAGGAUGUUUUCAUUAAUCAAGAACGAAAGUUAGGGGAUCGAAGACGAUCAGAUACCGUCGUAGUCUUAACCAUAAACUAUGCCGACUAGGGAUCGGAUGAUGUUAAUUUUUUAAUGACUCAUUCGGCGCCUUACG
rnacentral:rRNA from 1 species